UUAGUUCUUCGGCUUCGGCACAAAUCGGCGGGCGACACUGCCAGCGUGAAGCUUCUGCAGGUAGGACGAUGUUUGGCCGUGCAGCCAGCCGUCCGUGCUCCAUCCACCAUCACCAUGCAUCGAUAUAUAUCUUCCAUCUCGCUCACUGCGGUUAAAAAGAUGAACUCAACAUUUUGCGGAUACCUGGUGUUGCAGUCUGGCUAUGACUUCCAAAUCUACUUAAUUCCAUGAGCUCUUUGAGUAUGUCAUCACAUCCACCAAUACAACCUAUAACAGCAUGAAAUAUGUCCGAAUCACCUUAGUAUGUAACCAAACAAAAGAUGUGUACGUGUUGAGAGGAAAGAAGGAUUUGUUUUUUGGUCAUAUAAGUUUUAACUGAAAAACUAAAGUGAGUAUGGAACUUCAAUUGAAAUAGGAGAGUAUACCGAGGUGAUCGACAUCAAAAUUUGGUGGAAUAUCCCUUCGCCGAAACUUAAAUUGAAUCUUAUAAACCGGACCUGUAAAUUUAACAGAUUAUCAAUAUUCAAAGGAGAAUCAGCAAAGGAACAGUCCAUCAGUGAAAAUCAUUGAUCAUACUAGUGGUACAAUUUCAAUAAUUGGGGAACUAAAUUAUUCACCUGGAGCACAGGUAGGACAAACUUGAUCAGUCACAGCAGCCCCUGAAAGAGAUCGUGGGAGCCAAACUACAUUUCUACACUGAAAGUUCAGGAAGACUAUUAAUAUCAAAAUUUUCGUCGGAGUUCAAUUAUUUUGGCUGCAUUAUUAGUUCCAUAUGCUCUUUUCUGGCAAGAUUAAUGAAUUGUUUCUUAUUUCCUUUUUUACUAACAAGAGGUCUGGUAACUAAGCAAAGCACACAUGUUACUCACUUGAGGGAAGCCCCGACACCCAACCAUAAAUUCGCCAGUCUGAGGAAAGAAAAGCAAAGCUCAAGCAUGGACAUAGUGCGACACUUCCAAUAUGCCUAAGCUUCAGAACCAUUUCAAGAAAGAAAAGAUGUAUGGGAAGAUAAUUUUACCGGCCUUUGCUUCAGAAACAUUUCAGAUUCAUUGCAUGCAGCACAUGGUCUCACAGUUUCUAUGGAGUUCUGUGUCUCAUUGACCGGUCUACUUGACCUAGAUCAAAAGUCAAAGUGAAGCUAGAAAUUUGUAGCAAUGAAAGAAGAAAGCCAAAUGGAUCCAAUCAAACCUUGCAAAGAAUGUUCCCAUUGCAUCAAAGAGUUUCACCUUGUUUGCCCUUGCCUGCAUUAUACCAAUGAUAAGUGGUUAACUACUAGAUAUAAACUCAGAGGUCAGAGCAAUUCAAUAGAUGAUGAACAGUUUCUAUGCUUCACUUCCUGCGCCAUAUUGUUACUUUUAUACAUACAUAAAAAAGAACUUACAUCAAGAAAA